UGGUCAACAAAAAGGCGUGUGAAUAUUUUCCUGCAAAAUGCUGGGAUUUCAAUUACAAAGCAUUCUUUGACUGAGAUAGAUACAUUCAGUUAUUGCAAGAAAAAAAGAAAGGGAAAUGAGUGAACGAAUCACCCUGUCACUGCACAUAAGCGAUGCAAAUGUACAAACACGCGCCUUCCGAAGCCAUUCCUUCAACAAUCCUCCAACUUUAUCAACUCAUCGCUCCCGAAGAACGCUUAGUCUCCCAGCCAGAGAAAAACCGAUCAUUCCCCCACCAAUCUCGGAGAUUCCCGAAGAAUGCCGACUGGAUGACGAAAACCAUCCCUCAGAACAGAAACCUAUACAGAGUUAUACAGAAACCUUUACAGAAAACUGUCAUGACGAGAUCCAUUGGUUUACACCGAUAGCGGGCCUGUUGAUUAGUCUUCUGUUAUACAUGUGGGCAUGCCUCUUAUCCUUAUCAGCUGAUGAAAAGAAUAUUAUUUCCUGAAAUUAUGACCCUUAAAUACUGUUUAAUAUAGCUUUCUAGGCGAAUCAGAUGGUCAAAACCAGUUAAGAAACGAGAGAAAAUCGUGAAGUAGGAGAGUGACAUAUCUUAACUUUUGACCUUAUCCUUUCUUUUCGAGUACAAAGUGAUUAGUGACUCGAUGCAAUUUCCUUUGUUUAAUAGUGGGCAUUACAAAGUUAUCUCAGAUUGAUUAGAACAUUACAAGGGGCAGAGGAGAAAAACGAUACUAAUACUUGAUUAUCGCUACUGUAACUCCGCGACAGAGGGGAAUGGGCACGAGUCACGACAGACCAUGUUGCUGUUGAUUCUUAGUCUACAUAAAUGACUUGGUGAGAUACCCCCUGCUCAUGCUUUUGUGGAAAAAUCUGGAGUAAAAUAUUUAAUCAUUUUUUUCAACAUUUUCUCUUAGUAAAUCACCAGAAGCUUAGUGGUAUCGACAAAACCUACCGCAGUCUAGUUCAGUGCGGCAGAAAGCUUAGGGCAAAAUCAAUAAAGAUAUCAAGUCUCUUGAAAUCGCGCUUUUGUAAUCAUACCAAUCAUCAUAACGGCUAUGAGCAGCAAGGCGCCUCUCAAGCAAUCCUAUAGACUAAAGUGACUGUAUGGUGAACUCGAAGAUAUAUCAAGCAGAAUAGAAUUAGAGUAUAGAGUGACUAAAAGCCAAUGAUCUUGUGAUGCCAAGAAACAGAAUUGGGCUGCCAUUUCCGCGAUAGUCUCCCCCUUUAUUAUCCGCUAUAUUUAAAAACUGAUCCGUUAUCUUCUCUGAGACUCAUGCUCUCCCCUGACUCCCAAGUCCGUGCUAAUGUGCGACUUUGCUAAUACUAUGUCCUUAUGAAUCCUGGGAUUGGCCGAGCCUGUACCAGGUCACUCAAGAGGCAUGUUGUUUUGAGCUCCCUCUAUCAUUAUUAUCGUUGUAUAAGAUGCAAAGCUAAAAAUGCCUCAGGUUGUGCGUUUGCCAAUAUUUUUUCUUUCCAUUAUGGGCCAAGUAGAUCUUUGAUUAGUGUGGGAAUGUGGAAAUGACCGUAGACAUUCCGAAAGGUACAAAAUUUUUAGCGAAAACCUCUUAUUUCUAAAACGUGGGUUCGUGCAGAAGUCCGUAAUAAGUUGUUACCUCUUCCGUUCCAUUUUUAUCGAUCAAGGUAGACCUUUUGGAGCUCAAAUGAAAACCACAUGUGCAUACUCCACGAAUUAUUGAAAUUUAAUUCUUAAAAGCAAAGGAAUAAGCUUUGGAGUAGCGAGGAAUACUAUUUUCAAGAGUGCAAGUGCUCUCACG